UGCUUAUGAUGAAUAAAAUGUAUAAGAGUAGUGGACAGGAGUGGUUUCUGAAAACGUUUACACUGAAGCA
ensembl:snoRNA small nucleolar RNA SNORD75